GACGAACGCUGGCGGCGUGCCUAAUACAUGCAAGUCGACCUUAGUGCCGAACGGGGAAGUAACCCGUGGUUAACCUGCCCAUCAGAAGGGGAUAACACUUGAAAACAGGUGCUAAUCCGGUAUAUUGCUGGAUGGACCCGCGGUGCAUUAGCUAGUUGGUGAGGUAACGGCUCACCAAGGCCACGAUGCAUAGCCGACCUGAGAGGGUGAUCGGCCACAUUGGGACUGAGACACGGCCCAAACUCCUACGGGAGGCAGCAGUAGGGAAUCUUCGGCAAUGGACGAAAGUCUGACCGAGCAACGCCGCGUGAGUGAAGAAGGUUUUCGGAUCGUAAAACUCUGUUGUUAGAGAAGCGGUAUCUAACCAGAAAGCCACGGCUAACUACGUGCCAGCAGCCGCGGUAAUUC
rnacentral:rRNA from 1 species